rnacentral:lncRNA from 1 species
ACCGAGACUUCCUGCCACCGCAGCAACAACGGGGGCUCUACUCAGACCCCAGGACUGGAGGAGAGGACCCUGUCGGGCUGUAGUAGCUCGGAGCCGAUGGCCGACCCGCCGCCGCUUGGUAGAGUCGCGAUCCUGCAGACGCAUGCUGCCCUCACACGCUUGCUGCCCUGGGCGCGCAGUGCGAGCGGCCUUUUCUUUAGAAGUGAACUUUGUGAUAUGCUCUCUUUACGUCGGCUUCCCCCACCCCACCCCACCCCACCCCACCCCCGCUUCUUCUUCUAAUAGAUGGUCUUCCAUAAGGUGAGGCUGGGGGAGGCGAGCAUACUCUGACACUCAGCCUAGCCUGGGACUCACCUAGACAACUCACCGCGAUUCUUCUUCCUACUCUUCAGGUGUAUACCAACCCGAGUUUGUUGUUUUGCUUUGUUUCUGUUGUGCGCUAAUCUACCUUAAAGCCCCCUGCAUGCGUGGCCAGUGCUCUGUCCAUCUACCAACUUUUUCACCUCCCAGGUUCUCUAGCUCAGUGUUUCUCAACCUGUCUGUCACGACCCCUUGUGGAUCAAAUGGUCUUCUCGCAGAAGUGGCCUAAGACCAUCAGAAAACACAGAUAUUUAUCAACAUUACAGUUGAUAAACAGUAACAAAAUUAUAAAGUAGCAAUGAAAAUAAUGGUUAGGAGUCACCACAACAUGAAGGGUCGCAGCAUUAGGAAGGUUGAGAACCACAACUCUAUGCAGUCAGGACUCUGGCUGUGGCCUGUUUAAGAAAAACAUUUGGCUGCUCUUCUGGUAUCCAGGCUCCUUAAAGAUCUUAGCACUUUUGCCCUAAAAACCAUGCAGAGCUGAUCAUUCCUAGAUCCUGGCCUGGUGACAUCCCUUUUCUCCACUGUUGGCCUCUGCCCAGGCUUCUUUUUAAGAGAAGUAAUUGAGAGAUAAAAAAUAAACUUCAUGAAUUACAUAUGUGAGAGCCUAAAUGACAAGCCGGAUGGUGGAGCACACCUUUAAUCCCAGCACCCAGGAGGCAGAAGCAGAUAGAUCUCUGUGAGUUAUAGGCCAGCCUGGUCUGCAGAGGGAGGUCUAGGACAGCCAGGGCUAAACAGGAAAAUUUUGUCUUGAAAGCAAAAAGCAAACACACAAAAACUAAAUGACUAAAAGCUGAGCUGAGUCAUUUUACCAAAGGAUGGCAGGAAGGGUAUAGUAAGUCAAUCAAGGAAAGGAUGGGUCCUAAGAUUUUCUAGAAUACUUGAAAAAUAAUCUGGCAAUAGCCCCGUGUAGUGACACCGCCCAGAAGGCUGGGGCAGGAGGGUAUGGAGUUCAAAGUUAAUAUGGGUUAUCUAGCAAGACUCUGGCCACAGGUAAUACCUGCAUGCAUACACAAUCAGAAAGUCACAAUUUGAGUUUCCAUUUGUCAACUCCCAUUUCAACUCAGAAGAAGUAGGGACCUUUAAGAGAGGGCCUUAGUCUGUGUUUAAGAACAGAGUAUCUAAGAAUGCUAUCAUCGUUCUUCUAGAGUCCUUUCGCCAUGGGAUAAAUGGCUGGUUUAAUUCAAGGUGCAGAACUGAUGAGGAGCAAGUGGAUAGUACUGUUUACUUCGCAGACGUCCUUGUUGAUCUGUUGGCUAUCCAUCUGAAUUAGUUGCACAAAGUAUUUUAGCUUCAUGUUUGUAGCCUUGGAACAUUCAGGUGAAAAGCUCCCCAUUUCCCCUAGAUGGAACUCAUGGAUGUUUGUCAAAUCACAUAGCCUCAUCAUGCUCAGUGUGAGAAGGCGCUGGGCCUGCCUGCGGCACUCAAAAUUGUCUACUCUGCCUCCAUGAAGCUAUUUUCUCUCCUUCCUCUAACACAACUUUUUUUCUACAUUUCUUACUUUUGUUGACGAUAUGGAAAUUUAGCCCAUUACCUCCACCCCAUAUCAAACCUGCCCUUUUGCCUUUUGUUUGUUUGUUUCCAAUGUAGUUAGCUCAUUACUUUGGCAAGGUGGUUUUUUUUUUUAAACAUAUUCUUGUCUUUAUAGCUUUCAACAGUGACCUCAUUGUUGUAACAAAGUCCUAUGAAACCUAUAAUGGCCUCUGUACGUGGACAGUGUGUUUGAGGUGCUAGGGAGAGAUGCUAGCCAUAAGAGUAGAGCUUUGCUUCCAGACUAACAAGCAUCUCUGAGGUCUUCCACAGGAUAUUCAUUGAAUCAUUAAAGGUGUGUGUUAUCCUCGAGUACCUGCAUCCCAGUUGACAAGAUGUAGCUCACACCAUCACUACAUAGAAUCCUCAUCCAUCGAUGUGAGAAACUGUAAGCGAAUUUGUGUUCUCAGAAGUUUCUGGUCUUUCCAUAAGCCCUUUUGAACCUCCAAAGGCAGUGGUUCUCAACCUUCCUGAUGCUGUGAUGCUUCAAUACAGUUCCUCAUGUUGUGUUGACCACCCUGCAACCUUAAUUAUUUUCAUUGCUACUUCAUAACUGUAAUUUUGCUACUGUUAUGAACUGUAAUGUAAAUAUCUGUGCUUUCCAAUGGCCUUAAGGGACUCCUGUGAAAGGAUCAUUUGAUCCAUGAAGUUUCGGUCCUUAGUCCUUUUCAACCUUUUGUCACUUGAACCACAGGUGGAAAACCAAUGCUCUGAGGGUUGGGAAUAGGAAUGAGAAGAAAACACGCAAUGGGAGGCACAGUUAAGGUGUGGACUUUGGCUCUGAAGGACAGUGACCUCAAUGGGAAAGGUGUGGUUCACGGAGUUUUCUUUGUUUGACUUUCGAGAUGCGUUGGGGAUGUUGGGAUUUGGGCUAGGAAAAAAAGGCAGAUGCUAAAGCCAGAGGGAGAGAGAAAGGAUGAGGGAUUAGCAUCCAACAAAUACUUGUUGAACUAACAAAUUCCUGAAACGUAGCCUGACUGGUGAUGUUGACCGUGAGAUGAUCAAAGUGCACAUUCCCACUGAGACGCACAGUCUGAGACCAGACAGAAUCGGCAUUCCUUUCUCCCCGCUCAUGCUCCCUCCCCUGCCCUUCACAUCCCCAGAAGACAAUGAUGAAUGAGGGGAAGGAGGAGCUCAAGCUGCCCUGGUGCUGGAGGACAAGCUCUCUCUGACUUCAGGAAAGAUGUUGAAGGUAGACGGCAUCUUCCAACUUCCGGAGCUUCCAGGGACAUUAAAUUUAUUUAUGUUUAAAUAAAUAUUUACCUAACCUU